GAAAUGUGACGUUACGCAGACGACCGCGUUUCUUCUCAACAUCGCAAAGUCAACUGUUCUCAAGUAAGUAGGCUUUUUUCGUUUUCAUGCACGUAAAAAAAAAUAUCGACUGUGUCCUAAGUAUUGUCGGCCUGUGUUUUAACUCACGAGGUUUUUUGUGUGUUAUUUCCAAUUUAUAUUUUUUGGUGUGAGACAACACCGCCAUGUGGCGUCUCUGUUGAAAAGUUAACCUAAAAUCAUAUUAGGCCUACUCAGGUCCUAACAAUAACAAUAUAGGCACUUUCAAGUAUUUUUAUGGGUGUGAUACACGUUUGUUUAUAACGAUGUUUAUAAACUUUAUGAUAGGUUUAACUAUAACAUAAGGGAGUGAUUUUAUAAUUUGCAUUUAAUUAGUUUUUCAUCUGUUUGGGAGAUCACAAAAUAAAUAAAAAAACACUUCAUUAAUUUCGUGGACAAAGUCUGUCAUGUUUCCAUUUAGUGACCACAAAGCAAAUAUUUGUGACAAAAUGCCAUAUUUGGAACACUGCCUAACUGCGUAUUGUGAACGGGUCCCCGGAAAAGUGUUAUGACAAAUGUUUUUUUUUUUUGGUUAGGUACUACAAGAAAGACAUUGAAGAAGUUUCAACACCAGGAAAAAAGAGGAAAAAAAGGCCACAGGAAGGAAAGUCACUUGACACAGUCGACGAUUUCACAGUAAAUGCAAUCAGGAAUGCAAUUUACAGGAUGUACGCUGAAGGUUUGAAUGUUACAGUCGACACCAUUUUGAAAGAAAUCAGGGAAAGACAAAUAGAUUAUUAUGGUGGAAGAUCAAGUCUUCAUAAAUUGUUAAAGAAGAUGGGAUUUUCAUGGACAACUGUUGAUGGACGAAAAGCUUUGAUAGAGAAUUAAAACAUAGUAUUGCAGCGAAUAGAUUUCUUGAGAAAGUAUAAAGAAGAAAAAGAAAGAGGUGCCAAUUUCAUAUUUGUUGAUGAAACAUGGAUUUUCCAGAGAGGCAAGGCAUUAAUUUAUUUGAAAAUUUGUUCUGUGGUCCAAUACAAAGUAUUUCAUUUCCAUUUCAUAUAUUUUUCAGGAACUGUAUCAAAGUCAUGGCAGGACAAGAGUCUACAAUCUGCGAAGAGACGUACUGUUGGAGAUGGUAAAAGGUUUAUUGUUGUUAAUGCUGGAGGGCGCACUGGCUUUGUGCCAGGAGCAGGAUUACUUUUUGUUUCAGGUCAGAAGACUGCAGACUACCAUGGCGAGAUGAAUGGGGAAACUUUCUUGAUGUGGUUUGAAGACAUGUUGGUGCAUCUUGAGGAACCCAGUGUCAUCAUAAUGGACAAUGCUUCAUAUCACAGCACCCAGAUGGGCGAGGUGUGUGGAUCACGUGGAGAAGCUAAUUCAAGCAGACUGGGAGAGAGAAGUCCACAUAGACAGCGGCACCAUUCCUCCACUCAUCAUCCACCUCGGCAAGGAUAGUUCAAGUGAAGACAGUGACAGCGAAGAAUUUGAGGUUACGACACAGCAAGUAGAUGGAGACAGUGAAGUACUGGCAGUUCCUCUUGAUGAUUUACCCGGGUGUUCUUAUUGAGGUCUGUAUGUAAUAAACACCUGGGCAACUGUAAGUAUUGGGGUUUGAAACAUUUUUUUUUCUUUUAUGCAUUCCCAUUAAGUAUGUUGAUU